rnacentral:lncRNA from 1 species
AGAGGCGAUGCGACGGUGUUAGGGUUUGUGCCGCCGCCCCGUCCGCUCCCCCUCCGUUGCCGGCCACAGGCAAUAUCACGCCGCCGCCUGAUUUCUUAUCUCCCUCGCCCCCAGCCCCCUACUCACACACCCUCCACGCCUCCUCCACGACCCCCUCGGCGAUGGCGGGCGACGGCGGCCGGAGGCCACAUCUGCUGAGGCCCUUGUUGGAGCUUCGGAACGAGGAGCCUGUCCAGGCGAAUACUUCGAAGGCUUUGAGAGAGAGCUCGCGGCCUCUCUUCAUGCACAUCUCGAUCAGUUCUGAUGGCCGAAGAAGCUUGCUUGUAUGUUUGCCCUGUGCAUAUUCUGGAUCAUGCUGAACAAUCUCUUCCUGUAAAGAAAAGGUAAAAAUUAUUUCGUCAGCUAUUCAUUCUGACUUCCCUUAGAAAUGAUAAGCCAUCCACCUAGAUGUCAUCAAGCAAGUUAUCCUAAAUAUGGAAUGCUUCAAGACAUGAUGGGCAGAGAGGUAGAUCCAUGAUCCACCUCUGGGUAGAUUUUGGGUUACUAGCCCUACCAACAACGGAAUUGCAUGUAAAGGCGAGACAAUGGAAGAACAUGACUGGUUAACACUAACGUCCACAUAAGACUAUGCAAUAGCUACAAGUCCUAAGCAUGUGAAAAUUUCGUGAUGGAGAGAAUCAUAGAAUUCGUCGCAUUUACUUAGCACUUGAUAGACUACUUUGUCCAUCUCUGGAAGCCAGUUUUACAUAAACCUGUAUAAUAUGUGGUUACAUCAAACAUGACAUAGCUGGAGGUAUAGAAGGAAAGUAUACCAGAAGAAAUAGUUAACCUGCUGUUGCAGCAAUUUUAGAGAGAUAGAGGAGACGUCUUCUUUCAACAAAGAACAUCGACUUUCUGGUGCUUGUUAGGUCAACAUCUUCUCCCGGACUUGAAAGCAGAGCACAGGUAUGAAGAGUCUCUGAAGCAGUUGAGAACUGAUUUAAACAUAUCUCGUGAAGCCACAAAAGAUCGCUGCGGUCUUUCAGAAAAUUAGCUAGCUCUUCCUGGAAUUCUUCUCCCAGCCUUAACAACUUAGCGUGGUGCCGGCUGUUGAUUAGUUGUUUAAAAACGUAGAAACUGAAUCCCCCAUGAGAUCCUACACUAUCAUGCUGCAACACAAGAUCAAUAUAAGAACCGUGUUGCAUAACACUUUUUUGGUUGAAAGUGAAUAAUUAUAUGCUAGGUCACUGAAAACAUAUACAACAAGGCAUAUUCCAAGAAAAUUUGGGGAUAUGAUCAUGGGAUUUUACCAUAAGAUUGCGGAGGAGAACCGUAUCACUGAUAUCAUAGCAAAUCUGCCACAAAGUUUGGUACCCUUCAUGCCGUUUAGCUGUUGCCAAAAUAGGAGAAGUGACCUCUCUAAAUAUAGAUUCUUUCAGAUCAGGAUUGUCAUUGCCUUCUCUUGACUCCUGGUAGAUAUGGGCAUGUAUUAUGUAAUACCAUAUUAAAAUCAAGUAAAACCAUAGAGCCAACAUUGACAAUGUUUAUAAAAUGAUACUUCCUCCAUGCAGAAUUACUUGUCGCUCAAAUGGAUGUAUCUAGAGGUAUUUCAGUGCUAGAUACAUCCAUUUAAGCGACACGUAAUUCCAGAUGGAGGGAGUACAUGUUAAGUAUGAACGCAUUAUGUCAAGAAACUGUCAACAACAGAUGGUCAAUCCAGAAAAAUGUUGAGUUAAUUUAAUUUAAUUGUGCAAAUAGAGCUUUGCCAUGGUUCUUUUUUAUUUGGAAUGUCAUUCUAGCUGAAACUGCCCUUUGUUACUUGAUGUCAAGCUAUCAGCCACUAUGUUAAAGUAUACAAACUUACAUUCAUGUCAGAUGACCAAAACAUACACGUGCUAUGAUCAGAGAUUAUAACCGCAGGAAUGAUGGUAUUGGCACUCAUUUGCACGUUUACGGAUUCACAUAGGGGGUGAUAUUGAUAUGCUUUGUCAAAAGAACUCCUAGGUACCAAAGUUGGAUCCCUUAUGAUAAAUUGAUACAAUAUGCAAAUGUUGAGCCUCCUGUAUUGUGAGAUUUUCAUAAAAUUGCUAUACAGGGUGGCUCGGUGCUAUACCGUCGAUUGGUGAGUCGUCGCCUACGGUGCGUUGAGGCCACACGUUGAGGUCGCCGUGAACUCUUGAGGGUGCACGGAUGAUAUGCAAAUGAGUGAUUCAAUCUUCUGUUGCCAACCACAUGGGUAUUUCAAAAUCCAUGCAUAUUAUGACAAGCCCCCAAGCAUCUAUCAUAAAUCUACUUAAAGGGCAGUCGAGGGGACCUGUUUUGAAUGAGGUUAUAUGCAAUAAAGUUUUUUAAUUCACAUGUUGAAAGACUUUUUGAAUUAUCUCAUACUAGCGCAUUGCAUGUUCUAUGUGUUUAAACCAGGGAUGAAAAGCACUUUGUCCAUUUGACUGAACUUUAAAACCGCUUUGUUUAAAUCAGUGUAAGAUGCACCGCGAUGAUGACAUGGACGGUAUAUGGAGCAGGG